rnacentral:rRNA from 1 species
ACUGCUCAGUAACACGUGGCUAACCUACCCAUAGGAUGGGAACAACCCCGGGAAACUGGGGCUAAUACCCGAUAGGUGAGGAGGCCUGGAAUGGUUCCUAGUCGAAAAGGCGUUGAAACCAUGCUUUUCGACGUCGCCUAAGGAUGGGGCCGCGCCCGAUCAGGUUGUUGGUGGGGUAACGGCUCACCAAGCCUAUAACCGGUACGGGCCGUGAGAGCGGGAGCCCGGAGAUGGGCACUGAGACAAGGGCCCAGGCCCUACGGGGCGCAGCAGUCGCGAAAACUCCGCAAUGCGCGAAAGUGUGACGGGGCUACCCCGAGUGCCAUCCGCUGAGGUUGGCUUUUCCUUGGUUUAACUAGCCAGGGGAAUAAGGAGAGGGCAAGACUGGUGUCAGCCGCCGCGGUAAUACCAGCUCUCCGAGUGGUAGGGAUGAUUAUUGGGCUUAAAGCGUCCGUAGCCGGCUUAGCAAGUCUCCUGUUAAAUUCAGCGACUUAAUCGUUGAGCCGCGGGAGAUACUACUAGGCUAGGAGGCGGGAGAGGCCGACGGUAUUCUCGGGGUAGGGGUGAAAUCCUAUAAUCCCGGGAGGACCACCAGUGGCGAAGGCUGUCGGCUAGAACGCGCUCGACGGUGAGGGACGAAAGCUGGGGGAGCGAACCGGAUUAGAUACCCGGGUAGUCCCAGCUGUAAACGAUGCGGGCUAGGUGUUGGGGUGGCUACGAGCCACUUCAGUGCCGCAGGGAAGCCAUUAAGCCCGCCGCCUGGGGAGUACGGCCGCAAGGCUGAAACUUAAAGGAAUUGGCGGGGGAGCA